rnacentral:rRNA from 1 species
UACGUAGGGUGCAAGCGUUAAUCGGAAUUACUGGGCGUAAAGCGUGCGCAGGCGGUGAUGUAAGACAGAUGUGAAAUCCCCGGGCUCAACCUGGGACCUGCAUUUGUGACUGCAUCGCUGGAGUGCGGCAGAGGGGGAUGGAAUUCCGCGUGUAGCAGUGAAAUGCGUAGAUAUGCGGAGGAACACCGAUGGCGAAGGCAAUCCCCUGGGCCUGCACUGACGCUCAUGCACGAAAGCGUGGGGAGCAAACAGG